rnacentral:rRNA from 1 species
AACGAACGCUGGCGGCAGGCUUAACACAUGCAAGUCGAACGCAUCCUUCUGGGUGAGUGGCAGACGGGUGAGUAACGCGUGGGAACGUGCCCUUCAGUUCGGGAUAACCCAGGGAAACUUGGGCUAAUACCGGAUACGUGCGAGAGCAGAAAGAUUUAUCGCUGAAGGAUCGGCCCGCGUCUGAGUAGCUAGUUGGUGGGGUAAUGGCCCACCAAGGCGACGAUCAGUAGCUGUUCUGAGAGGAUGAUUAGCCACAUUAGGACUGAGACACGCCCCCACCUCCUACGGGCGGCAGCGGUGAGUAAUAUUGGACAAUGGGCACAAGCCUGAUCCAGCCAUGCCUCGUGAGUGAUGAAGGCCUUAGGGUUGUAAAGCUCUUUCGUCCGGGACGAUAAUGACGGUACCGGAAGAAGAAGCCCCGGCUAACUUCGUGCCAGCCGCCGCCGUAA